AUUGAACGCUGGCGGCAGGCUUCACACAUGCAAGUCGAGCGGAGAUGAGGUGCUUGCAGCUUAUCUUAGCGGCGGACGGGUGAGUAAUGCUUAGGAAUCUGCCUAUUAGUGGGGGACAACAUCCCGAAAGGAAUGCUAAUACCGCAUACGUACUACGGGAGAAAGCAGGGGAUCUUCGGACCUCGCGCUAAUAGAUGAGCCGAAGCCGGCUUAGCUAGUUGGUGGGGUAAAGGCCUACCAAGGCGACGAUCUGUAGCGGGUCUGAGAGGAUGAUCCGCCCCACUGGGACUGAGAGACGGCCCAGACUCCUACGGGAGGCAGCAGUGGGGAAUAUUGGACAAUGGGGGGAACCCUGAUCCAGCCAUGCCGCGUGUGUGAAGAAGGCCUUAUGGUUGUAAAGCACUUUAAGCGAGGAGGAGGCUACUGAGACUAAUACUCUUGGAUAGUGGACGUUACUCGCAGAAUAAGCACCGGCUAACUCUGUGCCAGCCGCCGCAGUAACAC
rnacentral:rRNA from 1 species